UGGAACUAAUAGAAGUUUCAAUAAGAAUUUAAUAGGAAUCUGGAAAUAAAAAACCACGGAGACAUGAUCCAAAACAGAAAUAGAUUGUACGAUAUUCUUUUAGAGCGACACAAACAUGUAUAGAGUGUUUUCAGGCCAGGAGAGGAAGACUAUUUUCUAUCUGAAUAAAAACGCCUCAAAAACUCUGUUCUCCGCCAAAAAAAUAUUAAUAAACUAUACACGCCUUUUUACAGGUUUAAAACUCGGACCCUAGUUUAUAGAUUAUAUCGCUACAGACUACAUAACUUUACAGUUUUAUGAAAUAGCUUCUACUU